rnacentral:rRNA from 1 species
UACGUAGGGCGCAAGCGUUGUCCGGAAUUAUUGGGCGUAAAGAGCUCGUAGGCGGCCUGUUACGUCUGCUGUGAAAUCCCGGGGCUUAACCCCGGGCGUGCAGUGGAUACGGGCAGGCUGGAGGCAGGCAGGGGAGAACGGGAAUUCCCGGUGUAGCGGUGAAAUGCGCAGAUAUCGGGAGGAACACCGGUGGCGAAGGCGGUUCUCUGGGCCUUACCUGACGCUGAGGAGCGAAAGCGUGGGGAGCGAACAGG